AGUCCCUAAUCAGAAAUUAUCAGGUAAAAUGCUCACUAGAAUUAAUCCUACUUCCAGAAGAGUUCUCAAAAGAGAAACCUAUAUACUCAACUCUGAUGCUCAAGUCUGACCAAUCCCUAGAUACUGCUGACCUAUUCAUAUAUUCAUAUUCUAUCACUGAUAUGGGAAGCUCUGUUUGAAACAUAAACUUAAAAAGGAAUCUCUAUAUAUGAACUAUCAGUGCUAUCAGACAAUGCUAACAUUAUGAACAUGAUGAGGAUAUAACCCUUGUUUUCUUAGAAAUGCCCACCCACAUUUAUGCUGUUUUUAGUUUAUUACUCUUGUCAAAGUUGCCAUGCAGAAUGUCUGUUGGUCAGUUGGGCACAUCUGCACACAUUUACAAUAUCUGCCACCUCUUUUAACCCUCAACCCCGCCCCACAAAAUGAGUGAUGGUGCUUGUUGAUUUGCAGAUUCACAGUCUGGUGAGACAAGUUUGAGAUCUCAUAUUUUCAGCUCAUCCUUGAAAACCUUUCUUCGAUUUGACUGACCUUGAUGGCUCCCUGGAAUCUCACCUACAUUUUAUGGGAAAUUCAACUCUCCAGAGAGAAGAGCUUUCAGAUAGCUGCGGGACUUGCAACUGUGACUUUCAGCUUUCGCUUUUGAAUGAGGCUCCAAAUGUCUCAAUGGUGGCACUAUUUCCAGAUUUGGGAGCCCUGCAAAGCUAAUCUGCUCAACCUUCACCUACUGGGUUCAAUGAAUAUGAAAAGCUGCCUUCCUGAAACUUUUCCUU
rnacentral:lncRNA from 1 species